UACAGAGACUGCAAGCGUUAUUCGGAUUCACUGGGCGUAAAGGGUGCGCAGGCGGCCAAGUGUGUCAGGUGUGAAAUCCCGAGCUUAACCUCGGAACUGCGCCUGAAACUACUUGGCUAGAGUACUGGAGAGGGUAACGGAAUUCACGGUGUAGCAGUGAAAUGCGUAGAUAUCGUGAGGAACACCAGAGGCGAAGGCGGUUACCUGGACAGUUACUGACGCUCAGGCAACGAAAGCCGUGGGGAGCAAAAGGG
rnacentral:rRNA from 1 species